AGGGUGUAAACGCUGCAGACUUGGUGUUGGAGGCCCUUUGGGGGCAUUCAGUGCCGGAGAGAAGUUGUUAAGUCUGCUACUUGGGGAGUACGUCCGCAAGGAUGAAACUUAAAGGAAUUGGCGGGGGAGGCACCGCAACGGGAGGAGCGUGCGGUUUAAUUGGAUUCAACACCGUAAAACUCACCAGGGAAGACUGUUACAUGAAGGCCGAGAUGAAGACUCUGCUAGAUUUUUCAGAGAGGAGGUGCAUGGCGUCAGUGACU
rnacentral:rRNA from 1 species